rnacentral:rRNA from 1 species
UACGGGGGGAGCUAGCGUUGUUCGGAAUUACUGGGCGUAAAGCGCACGUAGGCGGCUAUUCAAGUCAGAGGUGAAAGCCCGGGGCUCAACCCCGGAACUGCCUUUGAAACUAGAUAGCUUGAAUCCAGGAGAGGUGAGUGGAAUUCCGAGUGUAGAGGUGAAAUUCGUAGAUAUUCGGAAGAACACCAGUGGCGAAGGCGGCUCACUGGACUGGUAUUGACGCUGAGGUGCGAAAGCGUGGGGAGCAAACAGG